AAAGAAGCGAGAAGUUUCCCAAGUAUAUUUCCCUUCUCCAGCCUCGUUCCAAACGCCAUCUUCGUCAUCCCCGCAAAGGCAAAACCACCUUGGCUGGCUGGUCGCCCUCCUCUCUUCUCCACCAUCCUCCUCAUCCUGCUUCUUUUCUUUUUAAUUUCUGGGCUCAUCUUCUUAUGCCUAAUACUGCUAAUCAAUUGCAGAGGCUGGCCAUAUGAUUGAUGCCCGCCAUUGAAUGGUUUUGUUUUGUUCCACCGCUGCUAUAUCAAAUCAAUAUGUAUUUAGAUAAAUGUACGUAGGAAUCAGAUAAGAGCUGGGUGUUAACGAAAACAAAAAAAAGAAUGGAUUUUGUGGGCUCCCCCUCUCCCUCUUCCGCCUCAACUUCUGCACCAAACGAUGUCACUUCUCAGGAGCAUUAUGUAACAUCAAUUGAGGCAGAUCACGAGACAACGUGUUGGGGCUGUGGAGUCCGUCUUCUUGUUUCACCUCAUGCACCUGUUUUCAAAUGUGGCUGGUGUGGAGCAAUAACUAACAGAAAUGCAUUGAAAAAUAAUAAGCAGUACUAUAAGUGGAGACGUUUGCGAGAUCGUUGCUUUGUUGUUUUCGUCCUUUUGUUCAUGCUUUUUAUAAUAUGUGGUGGCAUCUGGGCAGUCUAUCCUGUUGUUUUCUCAAUCAGUUUUUUCUGGGGAAUUUUCCACUCCACGAUAACUCUAAUACUAUCUGUAUCUACAUUAUCUUCGUUUGGCCUAGCAUCAUUUCUGUCUCCUGGUGUUCCACCAAGGAUAUUGUGGGGUAGCUACCCGGCAGUAGGAAAAGGUGGACUUGAGAACUAUACCUUUUGUCACCACUGUUCAAAGCCUAAGUCAUCAAGGACGCACCAUUGCAGUUCGUGCGGAAUGUGUGUAUUAGACAUGGAUCAUCACUGCCCAUUUAUUGGAAACUGUGUUGGUGCAGCUAAUCACCGGUGCUUCAUCAUCUUCCUCAUUUCAGCUGUAAUGAGUACAAUCUAUGUCUCAACUAUAUCUUUUUAUGCAGCACUUCAUGUCUGGCCACCAGUAAAUUAUGUGGCCAAUCAACCUCUAAACAGGCUUCUUUCUUAUGAGUUCACCUUGAACUUCUUGAAAGAAUCUGCUUUUGCAUUGCUGAGAUCUGCUGUCUUUCUUACACCAAGAGGGCUUGUUCUGGUUUACCUUUUCAUCGCUAGUGUCUCAGUGGGGAUUGGUUUAAGCGUACUUUUGUGGCAACAGCUCUCCUACGUAUAUAGAGGGAAGACUUACUUAAGUCAAUUAAAUGCUUCAGAGGGUGACGGUGGGGAAAGGGAUUGUAAAAAUUUAAUCAACUUUUUUGGUUGUCAGUAUAUUGCAGCAGGAUAUUUCCCUAGUUUUUGGAACUCAAGGAAGACUCACGAGAAGUAAGCACGAAGAGGUUUGUUAACUUCUUUUCUGUUUUACAUUGACCAGUUUCUUUAAAUUUGGUUAUUAUCAUUGCUAUUAAGUGGCAAAGCAUAAGCUGGAAUAAGAGUUGCAAGAGAUAUUGAUUUCUUUUUAUGCGUUUCACAAGAUGGUUGAGGACGAAAGUGUGAGUCUGGAUUUAUCGGUCAAUGAUUUAGGUGUCCUAGUGAACUUGAAGCUUGCUUUUACUGGUGGAUGCAAACUUCAGUACAGUAGCUUGUGAUUUGUAGAGUUGCAUAAGAGUUUAUCAGGAUUAGAAAUAGCCAAGCGUUUUGGUCAUGUGUGUAAACCGGUGAGGUGUGACAUCCAAACCCAAAAUUUUUUGUGGUAUUUUGGCAGAGGGGUUUGGUUCCUAUUUUCACAAAUUUGAAAUUAUGGAUAAACCAGGAAGAUUUAUUUUGCACAUAAUCUAGUUUUGAAAGUUUUGCUGUUAAUUUUAAACUAUUUACUUUAGCAAUGUUUUCAAUUUCUGAUGGUAUGGGUAAUGUCACUUAAUUGUAUGGAAAAAAUUCUUAUAUUUGAUGCUUCUUUUAUUAUGUAGGUAGCUAUGAGUAAUUUUGUGGGUUGUUUUCCUUUUAUAGAGUUAAAACUUAGAGACCCAAUUAUGAGCGUUAUCCCCUUUUCUUUAUGUUCAUAACAAUUCUGGCUCACUCAAUGUGCAUGCGAUCCAAAAUAUCUUUUGUAUCAAUUUUGUUAAUUGUCCUAUCAUUAAAAGUGAAAAAUUGACAAGAUUUUAGUAAAGAUAAACUUAAUUUGUCUUGGUUGCUUGUUAAAUGGUUUUUACACUAAAAAAUGAAAACAAAUUCUGGAAUAGGUAAUUGGCUACAAUUUCUAGCUUAGUGGUUGUAGAUUUAUUGACUUUAACAAUGGAGGAAAGAUGUUAACUUCUGCCCUGAUUAAUGUGGAGUUGGUAAAUAGGGGAUCAUGAUUUGAUUGAAAAUUUGUAACUGGAGAAGCAAACUGCGAGGAUUCAUUAGCUGUAGGGCAAAUGUGCAUUAGCAUGUAGCAAUGGUUGAUUUACUGGGGUACAAUUAGGCUUUUGAUCAUGGCAGUGGUUUUGUUUUUUUUAACCUUCUUUUGGUGAAAGAGGAUACAACCAGACAACGGGAGACACUGCCUGAUUACAAGCAGUACUAUCCUUUUAUGUAGUAAAAUUAAGAUGUACACAAAGGAGCUAAAUAAACAAAUAAAAUGUUUAUUGCAGAUUAACUUUUGAUGGACACAAGCAUUGACGGAAGUUAAAAAAAAAAAAAGUACAGCGUUGGUGACAGAUUUUAAAUAAUCAUAUCACAUGUCAAUGUGGUCAAAUUCUAUGUUUGUAUUUGCACCAUGUACUUUAGAUUGAUGCAUGAUGUGGAUUUAGUCUACCAACUUUUUGCUUAAACCAACAGAGACUUGCAUAUGCUGAUUCUGUAGUUUUGCAACACCUAUUGGUAUAAUUUUGUAUGCCAAGCAUUUUAUCAUUAUAAAAAAUUGCUAGAGCAAAUUACAAGCUGUAGAUUGCAGGAUAAAGUUGAGAUUCUAGCCUCUAAGAGGAUAAAGUUGGAUAUUACUGUCCUUGACAUGGUUUAUCCUGCCUUAUCAUAAUGUUUAGUCUCAACUCCCUCCCUUCCUCCCUCCCUCUAUCUCAAUAGAUUUGUCUUUUUUUGAAAAAGAUAAACACAGUGCACUAAUUAAAAAUUUUUUUGUCUGUACAUGCUGGUUUUUUUGUAUGAUUGCCUGAGAAUAUGGUUGUAUGUUACAAAAGAUGGUUGUUUAGUUGUAUUUGGACACACUUUUGUGACUUUGACAUAUUAUAGAAAUGAAGACAAUUUUUUUUAGUUUUGAUUACAAUUUCCACACGCUUACAAACUGUUUGAUUCUGAAUGCUUAUGCUGUUUUGGGUCUUUGCUUCCUUCUUGUGGGAGGGGCCUUGCUUUUUGAUAAAGCGUUCCUUUUAUAGCUUAGGUGUACAUUGAUGAAAUUAGAAUUUUUUGCAUUGCAUAAAGGUCAACUUGGAAUAAGUCUUCCACAUUGGCAGUUAGAAUGGACAUGUAUUAAUGCUAGCAGGCCAGUUGUUUGUCUGUCAGUUGUUGCUAAAAGUAGUUCAUAAGCUUGUCCUCCAGCAUACAGAUUCUUCUAUCCCGUAGGUUUUGCAAAUUUGUGAUGAUAUUAUAGUUUGUCCAACUUUCUGUUAUUUGGUAAUCUAAUUAACCUAUCUAGAAUGGACAUGAAGAAGCUUCUGAGGAUCACAAUAAGGGGCUGCAAGAGUCUUUUCUAAUCUUCUUUUACCUUGUGCCUCUGGUUUUAGACCCUACAAGUUAAAAGAGUGUUAGAGCCUGGGCGAACAGAAGAAUGAAUUAAUGGAAACUGGAGAUCAAUUAAAAUGAUGCAUGGCGUUUCAGUAGGAUAUUCAAUGACAAAUUUGAUAGCUUUUAGGAUUAUAUAAUCUUUUAAGCUCUGUCUCUCUCGCGUUGUUGUUGAUAGCACCAUGCCUUCGGUUGUCAUCAUUACACCUCCAGGGUACUGAGACAGAAUUACUGGCUGCCUUCCUGGCCUUAAUUCAAAAUUUUUACAUUGAGCCUGGAGGACAUUAUGCUUAUUUAUUCAUUUUUGACUGGUAAGAGGUCAUUAGUUUUGGACACUGAAUGCCAAAAAAAAUAAAAUAAAAUAAUAAAUUAUGAGAGAAGUGUUUUGUGUGCAUAUCAGGUGUUUGGUUUAACUUACUGAUUUGCCUUCUGUGUUAAAUUUCAUUCUUAGUUAUUGUCAAGAACCUGUAAAAUUUUAUGAUUCUAUUAUUUAAAAUGUCUUUCAUUGUUUUAGCCAAUUAUAUAUAACUAUUCAUAGAUAACUUCCUUUCUUCAGCAUGCUAAUUAUUAGUUUAUCCUGUUUCAGUGAUCAUGUAUGCUGUUUAAGAAAUGUGAUUCAGUUUAUUCUUUUUUUGGGUUGGUUGUAAGCAAUGUGCUUUAGUUGAAUAUCUGAAAUUUCAGGUUGAUCGGAAAUGGACUUGAAUGGAAAAAAUGGGGACAGAGAGAAUACAUAAAUGGCUUUAAAGAUUUAAGUGUCACUCUUUUGGUAACAUUGACAAGAUGAUUGACAAAUCUUGACUUUAUUACAUAAGACUGUGUUCUGUGAAACUAAAAUUGGAGUCUCUACGUAAAUCAUAGUCAAACAUGAGGUUGAGCACUCUUAGGAGUUGGACUUUCACAGUGGUGGGCAAAAUUUACAGUGAUAAAGUAACGAGGUAGAAGACAUUAAUUAAGCACAUAUUUGGAGAAUAACAAAUAGCGAAAGGCAGAAAAAACCAGUCUUAGUUAAACACAAAAAAUCGUGCGGUAGUUGUGCAAUUUAUUGGAUCAUCCCAUUGGGUUGUUAACUUUGGCCACUAAUAUUAGUUUAUCAAGAUGUGGUAAUUUGUAUUGGCAUACCCAUGUUGUUGUUGACCAGUUUUACUACAAUUAAUCCAAUUUUUUUUCCCAUUGAGAAGAAACUUUCAGAAUUGUCUGCCCCUCCUUACAGAAAUUUCUUCUCUGGGGCACCUUUGAACUUGCCAUUUGGCAGCUUGGUUGCUCUUUAAUAGGAGCAUGAAGCAUUUAUUGAAGGGUGGGGGUACUUAAUUGUAAGAAGGAAAUGCUAAACGUCUUGGUUUAAUUAAAUAUUUUAGGCGCGUACCUUUCUUUUAUAUAGCUUAAGGAUGGUAAUGAUCUUGUCGAACUUUGGUUUUCUACUUUUCUGGAUUACAUAACUUGUGUUAUCGCAUUGACAAAUACCUGCUAAAAGUGUUUGAAGGUUCCUAAAGAAUUCAGAAAGAAAUCAUACCUUUGAAUUGAUGCUAGUGAAAAGGUGUUGCAUUUCUUUAUUUCGAAUCAUUAAUAUAGAGAUGGAUGGAGUGCUUUCAUUUGAUUAACGUCUAAUCUGUUUAAUGCCGUCAAGGCAAAAUGGAGGUUAACUUAGUUUUCCAAGUCUCAGGUUUGUACUUUUAAUUUUCUUGAAUCUCAAGUUUCGGGUCAUUACUGACAAGCAACUGGUAAUUAAUUACCGUACGAGUCCUGACUUGUUAAAAAAUCAUGUGUCCUGUAUCAUCAGUACAUGAUAUACCCUGAUAGGUGGAAACUAAGUGAUGAAGAUUCCGGGUGCUUUGUAGAUUCUUAUUUUGUAUUCAUUUGGAGAAUGAAUAAUUCCUGUAUUGUGCAAUGAAUGUGUGAAGCUGAUGAAUGAGGAUUUUGUCAUGGUGACUGGCUAGUGGAUUUCUGUGUAGCAUCCGAUCGUGCAUGGUUUGCUAAAAACACCAAACAGUGCCAUAGAAGGGGCCAAAAUCAAGAUUCCGACAUGCAAGAUAUGUAGCUGCUCUUCUAUAGCGGGGGCCAAAAUCAGGGAUUUAUGUAGCUGCUCUUCUACUUUUGAUAGGAAAAUUUUGGAAGCUUCUACUCAUUAUAGUUAUUACUGUAGUUUGUUGUUCACCGUCUUCUAGAUGCGAGCUGGUAAUGAAUUUUUGCAUCAAGUCUGCCACAUUUUUCCUUGUACUAUUUUGUUUGGAACAAACUUGUGUCUGCGAGGUUAAAUUGAAGUUGGAUCUCGGUGAUUAACGAGUA